rnacentral:lncRNA from 1 species
CAUGCUUGCUAGAUUUUGAGCCAUACAUUUACUUUUUACUGCUUAUGAGCAUUGAGUGUGGUCAAGCUGUGUAGACCCUUAGGAGCUUGUCAUGUGGUUAAAUCAAGAUUCACUUGCACGUUCAUUCACACAUGCUACUUCUACUCCGGAAGUACCAUCCACAUAUAUCCAUCCAUUUCCAUCUCCAGAACCAACCAAAAAUAUUCUACUCCUAAUCCGGGAGGGAAUGGCCAAAUAUUUUUGUUUUCCCUGUGAAAUAAAUGCUCAAGUUAUCUUGUAACUACCACUUGCUAUAUUAUCUCAAGAGAUGAGUGCUCUAAUAAAAAAAAGUAUAUGAGGAAAUAAAAAGAGGCAAGUGCCCAGAACCUCGAAAGAAAAGAAAAAGUGAGACGAGAGGUAAAAAUGGACAAGUGUCCGACAGUAGAAUUAGGGGUACAAGAUACCCACCUGAGAGGAAAGAAAAAGAAAAGAUAGAGCAUAUCAUUCUCCUCACAAUCUUUCAGAGAGCAAGGAAGGUAUGUAUCCCCUCAAAGAGCAAAAGUAGAAUUAGACUUCCACCAUUGUUAUCACCAUUAUCACCAUACACCAUUCAUUCGCCAC